rnacentral:rRNA from 1 species
UUUGGAUGACUUGUGGUUAGCGGUGAAAUGCCAAUCGAACUCGGAGAUAGCUGGUUCUCCUCGAAAUAGCUUUAGGGCUAGCGUCAUGUAAUAUAGCCAACGGGGGUAGAGCUCUGUAAACGACUGGGGCGGGCAACUGUACCCACCGUUAACAAACUACGAAUACCGUUGGUGGUACCAUGGCAGUUAGAACAUCGGGGCUAAGCUCGGUGCUCAAAAGGGAAACAGCCCAGACCAUCAUCUAAGGUCCCUAAAUUAACACUAAGUGGGAAACAAGGUGAAAUUUCUUAAACAGCGAGGAUGUUGGCUUAGAAGCAGCCAUUCAUUUAAAGAGUGCGUAACAGCUCACUCGUCAAGAGAUUUUGCGUGGAAAAUGUAACGGGGCUAAAGUGUUAUACCGAAGAUAUGGAUUUCGUUAUUCCUACGGGUUUAACGGAGUGGUAGAGGAGCGUUCCUAUCGGCGGUGAAGCUCAAUCGUAAGGUUGGGUGGAGCGUUAGGAAGUGAGAAUGCUGGAAUGAGUAACCAUAAGAAAGGUGAGAAUCCUUUCGGCCGUAAGAGCGAGGUUUCCAGGGCUACUGUAAUAAUCCCUGGGUUAGUCGGGCCUAAGCCGAGGCGUAGCAGCGUAGGCGAUGGACAUCAGGUUAAUAUUCCUGAACCGGUUAUAAUUUGUAUACUGUGUACGGUAAAUUAGUCGAAGCGGAUUAUUGGUAUAUAUCCGUCCAACUUAGCGGGAACGCAAAAGGAGUGAAAGUUAAUCUACGGAUUAACGAUUUUGAUGAAAGUACUGGCUAGAAAAGCAGAUAUACGCGUGGUUAUAGCCGCCCGUACCGCAAACCAACACAGGUGCUCGAGUCGAGUAGACUCAGGCUUACGAGAGACCCUUCGCUAAGGAACUCGGCAAAACAGCGACCGUAACUUCGGGAUAAGGUCUGCCUCCGCAUCAUUCGAUGCGAGUCGUGUUUCAAGCAAUUAGGUUAAGAUUAAUGGUAUAAUGAGUAUCUUAAACUUCUUUACCGAGAUAGAACAAGUCAAAUGGCUUAGCUUGGAACGUGGCAAACUCGUAUCAAACGAUGCGGAGGCCGCAGCAAAAGAGCCCACGGAACUGUUUACCAAAAACACAGGUCUCUGCGAACACGAAAGUGGAUGUAUAGGGGCUGACUCCUGCCCAGUGCUGGAAGGUUAAGGGGAGUGCUUUACGGUGCGAACUGAAGCCCCAGUGAACGGCGGCGGUAACUAUAACCGUCCUAAGGUAGCGAAAUUCCUUGUCAGGUAAGUUCUGACCCGCACGAAUGGAGUAAUCAUGUGGGCACUGUCUCGGCGAAGGACUCGGUGAAAGUGCAUUGGCGGUAAAGAUGCCGUCUGUCCAUGCCAGGACGAGAAGACCCCAUGGAGCUUUACUACAGCUUUACAUUGACACGGGUUACAUCAUGUGUAGCAUAGGUGGGAGGCUUUGAAACAGAUACGCCAGUAUUUGCGGAGCCACAGGUGAAAUACCACCCUUGAUGUAGUCUUUGUCUUACCAUUGCCGUUAUCCGGUAAUGGGACCGUGUAUGGUGGGUAGUUUAACUGGGGCGGUUGCCUCCUAAAGAGUAGCGGAGGCGUUCAAAGGUUGGCUAGCUUCGGAUGGAAAUCGAAGUGAUAGUGCAUGCGCAAAAGCCAGCUUGACUGCGAGAAUUACAAUUCGACCAGAGUGGAAACACGGAGCAAGUGACCCGCUGUAAGAACAUUGUUCAUUGAAUGUGGGAUCGACAGCGCACACGGAUAAAAGUUACCCUGGGGAUAACAGGCUUAUCGCGCCCAAUAGUUCACAUAGACGGCGCGGUUUGGCACCUCGAUGUCGGCUCAUCACAUCCUGGAGGGGGAGCACCUUCCAAGGGUUCGGCUGUUCGCCGAUUAAAGUGGUACGCGAGCUGGGUUCAGAACGUCGUGAGACAGUUCGGUUUAUAUCCGG